CAAAGUGGUUGUGAGAAAGAAGAAUGAAAACAGGCAAAAGGAUGUGAGGGAAGAGUUACAGUGCACUGAGGAAAAAGACAGACAAUCCAAGCAAAAGAGGUUGGUGUGGGCAAAGGCAUACAGGAUAAAGCAGGAACCGGAAGCAGAAAGGUUAGUGCACUGUCUGCUGUAUCCUCAUUCCUUUUGGCCCUGAAGUCUCGACUGAAUGACACAUGGACUGAUUUUCAUCAUCAGACUUAAGCAAUCUUCUCCAAUUGUGACAGGGGGCAGAAGAGGGAUGAGCCCUGUUCUUCACGAGAAAGGAGACAGGAUGGAGUAAAAAGAACAUGGGUUCCUUCCCUUCCAGAUGAUUCUGAUUGUUGCAAGGAUCAAACGACACCAUGUUUGUAGAGGGCCUAGUGGUAUCUGACCCACGGGAGAGGCUCAACAACAUGGUGGCCACAAUCAGGAAG